UUUGGGCUUUUCGCCUCCUCCCGCCGCCGCCGCCUCCCCCGCUGCCUCCCCCGCUGCCGUCUUUGACUCUUGCCGCGCUCUCGGGCCGGCCCCCCCGGGUCUUCUCUGAUGAGACAAGCAAGAAUGGAACUCCACUGGCUCCACUCGGACAGUUGGCACUCUGGGGAAAAAAGAAGACGAGGAGAAACAAGGGCCUGAGGUUUGCCAACAUCGCUGUCACCCAAGGAACUGAGGAAAACCAUCACCAGCGCCACCAAUCCCAGCUGCAUAGUCCCUGUUGGUUUUCCGUCCACGCGGGGUCCGCUGUGGACUAGGUGGAGCAGGUAAACCCGUC